GGUUGUGAGGGCCAUCUGGCUGCGACAUCUGUCACCCCAUUGAUCUCCAGGGUUGAUUGAGCUGAUCUGGCUGGCUAGGUGGGUGUCCCCUUCCUCCCUCACCGCUCCAUGUGCAUCCCUCCUGAAGCUGUGGUCUCAGUCACAGAGGACAACUUUCGCCGGUAGAGGACCGUUCUUGGGUCAAGGAUGUCGGAGUAGCUGCACCUCCCUGAGCCUCCACACAAGCUCUCAAGAUCCAUUUGUUGUAGGAGAACGUAGGGUGGUCAGGCUUCCAAUACUAGAUACAUCCAAAUGAAACACUGCAUGCGGCAGCCUACCUUUCUUU
rnacentral:snRNA from 1 species